ACACUCCUAAACCUUGUGGAAAGCCUUCCCAGAAGAGUAUAGACAUAUGGAGGUCAUGAGGAGGAGGAAGCACAACUGGAGAAGGACCUCAACAGCUGUGUCUUCAUCACACGCAUCUGCUCCAGGGGAUGAAGUUCAACCUGAUCUAAGAGGAGUGCAUAUGUUUGUGUGUGUGUGUUUGUGUGUGUGUGUGUGUGUGUGUGUGUGUGUGUGCGUGUGUGUGUGCGUAUCUGUGUAUGUGUAUGAGAGACAGAGUUCUAAUGAAGGAUGCAAGAUAACUUUCUUUACUCGGGUAAUCACCCACAAAUGUGUCACACAGCAAAGAAUUUCUUAACAUGUCGAAUUUUCUUGAUUCGUGCUAAUUAAGAUGUUUGAGAACCAAUUACAGUACACAUCAUUUCCCUUUCGCUGCAUAAUUACAGAAAAACAUGAGCUGGAGGUAUAGAAAUAUACAGCAUAUCUUACCCUUCAUUAUCCCUAUUAAUCUCCAGAUGUGUGUGUAUGUUUGUAUGAAUAUGAAGCUCUGAGAGGAACAUUAAACAUCAUCUCAGAUUGAAAUCAAUAGUUGCAGUCUAAGGUUACACUGUGCCUGCAAGGUUAUUCCUAAACAAUAAUUAAAUGGCUUUCUUGCUUUAUGGUGUUGAUAAAUCAAUACAUGUUUUAAGGAAAACAAAUGCUGAAAUGACUCGGAUGUCUGUGGUCUUGUUGGAUUUGUCCACUGAUUCAACUGCUGUUUGUUUCACUGUUGAACAUAACCUAUAAGAAGUGUAGAUGGGAAAGUGUAGUAUUGACUGAACGUUUAAAAUCGGCACUUUUAGCAGAAUUUCAAUGAGCUGUGUGUAAGAAAUUAUUAAUAAAAAAUACUCCAUGCUUUUGUUGUCAUGGGUGACAACAGUAACUUUACAGGGAAAUUCAGGUGAUUUUUCAAAGAAAUUCUCUGUGAAUAAAUAGUUAAGAUGUAACCAAAGUUAUUCAGAGUGGCUUGGUGAGGAUUUCACUGUUCUAGAGAAACCCACUAAGUCAGAAUUCUUCACAGUGGUGAUAAGAAUGUGUGAAGCACUGAAGCCUCUAAAAAGCUCAAUCACUGAAAGUUAUUUUAUGAAAUGGUUGUGAAUAUGUUGUCUGAUGCACGAGACAGUGAGUGCAUUUAUAUGCACUCAAUCAUCUGAUCAUAGCCGAAUUUCUGCAGUUAUCUGAUUAUUCAAAUGGUCAUGCAAACAGCAUACUCUGAUCUAGAAAUCCAAUAAAGAAAUCUGAUAAAGAGAGACAUGGGGGAGAGGCUGGAUUUUAGCUCAGUAAUCAAAUUUCUCAGUGCAUGUAAACUCUUACUCUGAUUUCUUUCGAAUAUUUCAGUCUGCGCAUGUACGAAAACAGGUGGCGGUACCAGAAACAAGCAAGCAGCAUUGCUGCAAGAUGGCAGAGGAACAGUUUUGGAGCAAUGAUGAAACCAGCUAUGUUCUUGACGAAAUAAAGGAUGGAAAUACUUAUGUCA